UGAAAAAAAAAGGGUGUUCAUCUUGUUCUUUCUAGCCGAAUGUAAAGAAGAGUUGGGGAGAAGAACCAUUCGGCCACCUUAGGUUUUCAUUAAGGUAAGAAGUUUAAGUUAAAUUCUUGAAAUUUAAGUUAAUUUUGAGUUAGUUACCAAGUUCUUUAGGUAACCCAUGUUAAAAUUUUGAUUUUAGGAAUGAGUAGAACUUUCGGCCAUGAUAGUUAAUAAAAGAUAUGGUUAUUGUUUCAUGCUAAUUUAGAUGAAUAAUGGUAGAUAGGUGUUUGAACUAAACAAAUGAUCAUAUGGAUGCAUUAGAUGCUAAGUGGGAAGAAUCGGCUAUCAUGUUUGAUGCCAUUGCCGAACAUAAAUUUGUUUAUAAUUGAAUAAUGUGUGUGUUUUGAGUUGAUAGAAUAAAAAGAAUGCUUAAAAUGUGUUAUAAGCAAAUAAGAGUUAAAUUAAAGUUGCUAAAUUACCAUUUUUUUUGCCGAAUAUGUGCUUAAUUUAAAGAGGAGUUUGUUGAAGAAUGUAUGUGAACAUGGUAAGUGUAUUCGGCUUAGUGAGUAAAUGAAAUGAAAAUUUGGAAUUGAUUUUUUUUUUUAUGUGUAUGUAUGACCAAGUAUAUUCGGCCACAUAAGUAAUAUAAGUACAUGAUGUUAUAUUAUGAUUAUUGAGCUUAUGUAUGUGGGUGCAUGUAUAUUUAGUAAUAUAAUGACGUUUGGUUUUGAAAGUUGAAUGAUAAAUUAUUACCUUAAUUACAUGAGCAUUUGGUGAAAGUAGCAUUUGUGUAUGAACAUGUAUUAGUUAUGAAACCGGUAGGUUUAAGACUAAUUGUGGUAAUGAUAAUAUAUUAUAAAAUGAGUUUGAUAUUUGAUUACCGAAUGUGAAUAAUAAGUAAACACUAUUGAUCAAAAUAUUAAACAUCUCUAUUUAUACUUAUUUAGCUCAAGAGCAAGGGGGAUCAAAGUUGGAUAAGGGAAAAGAGAAAGCUAUAGAGUAGUCAAUCCACAACCGUCCCAAUAUACCGAGGUAAGUUCGGAUAGUCACAUUUAGUGCAUCUUGAUAAUGUCUUGAUAUGACAGAAUAAAUUAUGCUUCAAGCUUAUAGCAAAAAAAAAAUUAUAUAGUUGGUGCAUGGCAUAUCACUAUUCGAAUGAGUAAAUAAACCAAAUUUUUGAGAUGUUACGUGAAUUGAAUUCAUUGUAAAUAAAUAUGUAUGGUGCUCAUUGAAGGGAUAUAUCCGGACUUAUAGUCCGCAGGCUUUGUGCUGGCAAUAGAUAUCCAGGUUAAAUCCCACAAGCUUGUGCUGGUAAUAGAUAUCCGGGUUAAAUCCCGCAGGCUUUGUGCUGGUAAUAGAUAUCUGGGUUAAAUCCCGCAGGCUUUGUGCUAGAAAUUGGACUCGGGUUUUAAAAACCUAGCAGGCUUAAUGCCGGUGAUUUGAGUAAGAUUAUGAUUUCGAAUGUUCGGAGGAAACCACCAUUGAAUUUGUUCAAUGCAUUAAGUUGGUCAGGUAUGUAUUAUAUACUUUUAUAUGUUAGAUUGAUCGGAAUUGAAUCAUGAAUGCGAAAUGAGAAGUAUAUGUGAAAAUAUCAUAUGUGUAUGUGUGUAUUCGGUUAUGGUGGAAGGUUACAUGAGAUUGAUUUGGUGAUAUACUUGUUAAAUAAUAUGAAUGCAAAGAAUGUGUAAUAAAUCUGCUUGGGACAGCAGCAGUAACGUGAUUUCGGAAAAUCACCAUAAAUUGUGGGAGUUGAGUUAGAGGCUGAAUAAAUUAUAUCAUGAAAUCUUAAUGAGUCUAGUUUUUUAUAAAAGAAACCGUGUAAGCAAAAGAAUUGCCAAUAAUGAGAUAUUUGAAGUGGCAUGGAACAGAGUCAAAAUGACUUCGAGGUCCCCUGUUCUGUUUUCAGGAAAUCAUUAUAAAUGGUACAAAAAUGGUUAUAAGAUAAAAUUUAUAUUCUUAGACUCCUUAAUGAGUCUAGUUUCAAAUGAAAUAAACGAUAACAUAUUUUGAAUUCUGUAUAAUGAGAAAUUUGAUUCAUAGUGAAGAGUGGUCAGAAUAGUCAAACAGUGAAACAGGGGAAACUUCAAGAAAAAUCUGGUAUUUAUUGGUAAAACCAAAAAUUCUGAAAAAUUGAUGGAUGGAAGAUAUAUGAGUCUAUUUUCAGGGAAAAUUAACGGCACUUGAUUUGGAGUUCCUUAGCUCCAGUUAUAAAUAAUUUAGUGACUGUUGCUCAGGAAGACAGCUUGUAGUGAAUUUGUGAUUUUGUUGCAAACAUGGUUAAAACUUGUUAAUGAGAUGCUUUUCGAGUUCUUAUGAUCUUAUUUUUGAUUUCAAUAUUUGGUUUUAAUUCAGUUUAGAUUCAAGUGAGGUGAAUUUGCUACAUAUGCAUUAUGUUCAUGGAUACUUGGCCAAAAUGGAAAUUAUCUAGGAAUGAUUUCUUGAAAAUUUGAAUAAUCGAUCUAUAAGUAAAUUAAUUGUUUGCAUUGCUUAAAACUUACUAAGCAUAAUAAUGCUUACUUCGUUACCUUAAUCCUCUGUUUUGUAGAUUUUGUUCGUCAGCUGCGGUCUCGGGGAUCUCAAAGUCGAAGUCGACCACACUAUCUAAGCUUCUUGGUACUCGAGUAGUUAAAUUUCGAUAAUGGCAUGUAUAGGCUUGACUUUUUGUUGUUAAAUAACUAUUUUUUUGAUGAUGUAUAUAUAUGGGUAGCCAUGCGAAAAUGGCUUAAUAAGUUACUAUAUGUGUUCCAAGUGGUUAAUGUGAAUGCGUGGUUGAGA
rnacentral:lncRNA from 1 species